UCAACCGAUUUUCAUAUUUAAUCCCCAUCUCACCAAAUUAGUUCACGACGCGAACUUGUUGCGCAGAAGGUUAGUUUAUUGUCGAAAAUCAUGGCGUUAAGAUUUGUCAUUUUGCGGGAUGUUUAAUAACUGCGUAAUACUUUCAUCAUUAUAUCUCCGUGCUACUGUUAAGUCGAUUACUGGUUGCACUCGAAGGAAAUGUCACGUUUACUAGUAAAUGUGAUAACUUUUUAUAGAGAUAUAAUAACAUUUAAUUUAUUCUAAUGAAGGCAGAUGUAUUUUUAUAUUUGACUUUUCUCUAAUGGAUAAUCCGUAAUAUUUAUUUAAUAUUUAAUUCACAUAUAAAGAGACGCUAUCACACUCAAGUUUAAAUACGUUCUGCGCAUCGCAUCUAUUUCAUACUACGCAGACAAGAAUAAAGCGCCAUGUUUGGUUUUUCACAAUUUUCACUUUUUCGUCUUAACUUUACCUGAAAAGAUAUAACGAUGCUUCAAAGCUAAACACAUUUUUUCCAACCAUUAAUUUCUCCAUGAGAUUUGACAAUUCCUAUUUGAUAACAGGCUUCAUAAUGACUUUCUUUGGCUUACAACUAUAUCGAUGAAAACGUUCUUCGCAUC